rnacentral:rRNA from 1 species
CAGGGUGACAGCCCCGUACACAAAAGCGCAUGUGCUGUGAGCUCGAUGAGUAGGGCGGGACACGUGGUAUCCUGUCUGAAUAUGGGGGGACCAUCCUCCAAGGCUAAAUACUCCUGACUGACCGAUAGUGAACCAGUACCGUGAGGGAAAGGCGAAAAGAACCCCGGCGAGGGGAGUGAAAAAGAACCUGAAACCGUGUACGUACAAGCAGUGGGAGCACAGGUUUACCUGUGUGACUGCGUACCUUUUGUAUAAUGGGUCAGCGACUUAUAUUCUGUAGCAAGGUUAACCGAAUAGGGGAGCCGGAGGGAAACCGAGUCUUAAUUGGGCGUUAAGUUGCAGGGUAUAGACCCGAAACCCGGUGAUCUAGCCAUGGGCAGGUUGAAGGUUGGGUAACACUAACUGGAGGACCGAACCGACUAAUGUUGAAAAAUUAGCGGAUGACCUGUGGC